rnacentral:rRNA from 1 species
GACGAACGCUGGCGGCGUGCCUAAUACAUGCAAGUUGAGCGAUGAAGCUUGGUGCUUGCACCAAUUUGAAGAGCAGCGAACGGGUGAGUAACGCGUGGGGAAUCUGCCUUUUAGCGGGGGACAACAUUUGGAAACGAAUGCUAAUACCGCAUAACACCUUUAAACAUAAGAUUUAAGUUUGAAAGAUGCAAUUGCAUCACUCAAAGAUGAUCCCGCGUUGUAUUAGCUAGUUGGUGAGGUAAAGGCUCACCAAGCCGAUGAUACAUAGCCGACCUGAGAGGGUGAUCGGCCACAUUGGGACUGAGACACGGCCCAAACUCCUACGGGAGGCAGCAGUAGGGAAUAUUCGGCAAUGGACGAAAGUCUGACCGAGCAACGCAGCGUGAGUGAAGAAGGUUUUCGGAUCGUAAAACUCUGUUGGGAGAGAAGAACGUUGGUGAGAGUGGAAAGCUCAUCAAGUGACGGUAACUACCCAGAAAGGGACGGCUAACUACGUG